AUAUUAAAAACUUUCAACAACGGAUCUCUUGGUUCUCGCAUCGA
rnacentral:rRNA from 1 species